GGCCACCCCCUAGCCCAACCACUACGUUUAGCUACACAUUAAAAAACAACUACAACCCCCAACUAAAACAUUUCAACAGUCCUAGUAUUGGCGAUAGAAAGGAACUACCUGGCGCGAUAGCAAUCCUGUACCGUAAGGGAAAAGUGAAAUAACAAUGAAAACUUUGAGCCACAAACAGCAAAGAUUAGCCCUUGUACCUUUUGCAUCAUGAUUUAGCAAGAACAACCAAGCAAAGCGAACUUAAGCUUGCCCCCCCGAAACCCAAGCGAGCUACUCGUGAGCAGCUAUUUUGAGCGAACCCGUCUCUGUUGCAAAAGAGUGGGAUGACUCACCAGUAGAGGUGAAAAGCCAACCGAGCUGGGUGAUAGCUGGUUGCCUGUGAAAAUGAAUUUAAGUUCAUCCUUGGUCGCCCCCAAGAGGACACCCACUCACCCCCCUGUGGCCAACCAAGAGCAAUUUAAAGGAGGUACAGCUCCUUUAAAAAAGAACACAACCUCCCCUAGCGGAUAAAUUCCCCCCAUUAAACUGAUCUGUGGGCCUUCAAGCAGCCAUCAACAAAGAGUGCGUCAAAGCUCAUAUCACUAAAAAUAUGUAAACAACAUAAUUCCCUUACUCCUAACAGGCUAACCUAUACUAAUAGGAGAAUUAAUGCUAAAAUGAGUAACUUGGAACCAUCCUCUCAGCGCAAGCUUACAUUAACACAUUAUUAACAGCCAUUAAAAUACCCCGAUCUCAACAAGAACAUGUAUUUCCAAGUCUGUUGACCCAACACUGGAGCGCUAAUCAGAAAGAUUAAAAUCUACAAAAGGAACUAGGCAAACCCGAGACCCGACUGUUUACCAAAAACAUAGCCUUCAGCCAGCCAAGUAUUGAAGGUGAUGCCUGCCCAGUGACACCAUGUUUAACGGCCGCGGUAUCCUAACCGUGCGAAGGUAGCGCAAUCAAUUGUCCCAUAAAUCGAGACCUGUAUGAACGGCUAAACGAGAUCUCAACUGUCUCUUGUAGAUAAUCAGUGAAAUUGAUCAUCUUGUGCAAAAGCAAGAAUAAUACCAUAAGACGAGAAGACCCUGUGGAACUUAAAAAUCAACAGUCACCUCCUCAAUACAUAACCUACCAGGCCCACCACCCAGAGAACACUGACUGACAUUUUUUGGUUGGGGCGACCUUGGAGAACAACAAAACCUCCAAAAAUAAGACCAUAACUCUUAACUCAGAGCCACCCCUCAAAGUACUAAUAGUGACCAGACCCAGAAUCAAUCUGACCAAUGAACCAAGCUACCCCAGGGAUAACAGCGCAAUCCCCUCCAAGAGCCCCUAUCGACGAGGGGGCUUACGACCUCGAUGUUGGAUCAGGACAUCCUAAUGGUGCAGACGCUAUUAAGGGUUCGUUUGUUCAACGAUUAACAGUCCUACGUGAUCUGAGUUCAGACCGGAGCAAUCCAGGUCGGUUUCUAUCUAUGAUUGACUCUUCCUAGUACGAAAGGACCGGAAAAGUGGGGCCAAUGUACCACUGCACGCCUUCUCCUUAAGUAAUGAACACAACUAAAUUACAAAAAGGACACCCCGCACUUUACCCUAGAUAAGGGACC
rnacentral:rRNA from 1 species